CCUACGGGUGGCAGCAGUGAGGAAUAUUGGUCAAUGGGCGCGAGCCUGAACCAGCCAAGUAGCGUGAAGGAUGACUGCCCUACGGGUUGUAAACUUCUUCUAUAAAGGAAUAAAGUGAGGCACGUGUGCCUUUUUGUAUGUACUUUAUGAAUAAGGAUCGGCUAACGCCGUGCCAGCAGCCUCGGUAAUAUGGAGGAUCCGAGCGUUAUCCGGAUUUAUUGGGUUUAAAGGGAGCGUAGAUGGGUUGUUAAGUCAGUUGUGAAAGUUUGUGGCUCAAUCGUAAAAUUGCAAUUGAUACUGGAAGUCUUGAGUACAGUUGAGGUAGGCGGAAUUCGUGGUGUAGCGGUGAAAUGCUUAGAUAUCACGAAGAACUCCGAUAGCGAAGGCAGCUUACUAAACUGCCACUGACAUUGAUGCUCGAAAGUGUGGGUAUCAAACAGGAUUAGAUACCCGAGUAGUC
rnacentral:rRNA from 1 species